rnacentral:rRNA from 1 species
CCUACGGGAGGCAGCAGUAGGGAAUUUUCGUCAAUGGGCGCAAGCCUGAACGAGCGAUGCCGCGUGAGUGAAGAAGGCCUUCGGGUCGUAAAGCUCUGUUGCGGGGGAAAAAAGGCAGCAUCAGGAAAUGGGUGCUGACUGAUGGUGCCCCGCCAGAAAGUCACGGCUAACUACGUGCAAGCAGCGGCGGUAAUACGUAGGUGGCGGGCGUUAUCCGGAAGGAUUGGGCGUAAAGGGUGCGCAGGCGGUCCUGCAAGUCUGGAGUGAAACGCAUGAGCUAAAAUCAUGCAUGGCUUUGGAGACGGGAGGACUGGAGAGCAGGAGAGGGCGGUGGAACUCCAUGUGUAGCGGUAAAAUGCGUAGAUAUAUGGAAGAACACCAGUGGCGAAGGCGGCCGCCUGGCCUGUCGCUGACGCUGAGGCACGAAAGCGUGGGGAGCAAAUAGGAUUAGAUACCCUGGUAGUC